rnacentral:misc_RNA from 1 species
AAAAAAAAAAAAAAAAAACUAGGAUGUGUUUUUAAAGUUUUAGAUAGUUUUUGGGACAGUGGUUGGUAUAGUGUAAUUAAGACUAUUAAUCUUCUUAAGGGAUGGACCUAGGUAUAUAGGGUCCCUGGCACAUUUUUUUUUUAAAAUAAUAGAUAAAUACACUAAUUUGGCCCCUAGUCCUCACAAUUUUCAUUUUUAAAAAAUUUGAUAUAUUAUAAUUAUAAUACAUUGAUUCUAAAAUAAUAAUGUUAAAAUAAUAAUAACCUUGCUUAAAAACUCUAUGCAUAAAGCAAGCAAAUAUACAACCAAGAGAUUCAACAUAAUUGUGUGAUUAAAGAUUUGUUUGUUUUGCAAAAAAUAAUUUGAAUAUAAAAAUGUUUUCCAUA